UGCCAGACUCCUACGGGAGGCAGCAGUGGGGGAUAUUGCACAAUGGGGGAAACCCUGAUGCAGCGACGCCGCGUGUGGGAAGACGGUCCUCUGGAUUGUAAACCACUGUCCCCAGGGACGAAGAUGACGGUACCUGGGGAGGAAGCUCCGGCUAACUACGUGCCAGCAGCCGCGGUAAUACGUAGGGAGCAAGCGUUAUCCGGAAUUAUUGGGUGUAAAGGGUGCGUAGGCGGGAUAACAAGUUAGUUGUGAAACCCCUCGGCUCAACUGAGGAACUGCAACUAAAACUAUUAUUCUUGAGUGCAGGAGAGGAAAGUGGAAUUCCUAGUGUAGCGGUGAAAUGCGUAGAUAUUAGGAAGAACACCGGUGGCGAAGGCGACUUUCUGGACUGUAACUGACGUUGAGGCACGAAAGUGUGGGGAGCAAACAGGAUUAGAUACCCGAGUAGG
rnacentral:rRNA from 1 species